GACGAACGCUGGCGGCGUGCUUAACACAUGCAAGUCGAACGGAAAGGCCCUGCUUUUGUGGGGUGCUCGAGUGGCGAACGGGUGAGUAACACGUGAGUAACCUGCCCUUGACUUUGGGAUAACUUCAGGACACUGGGGCUAAUACCGGAUAGGCGCUCCUGCUGCAUGGUGGGGGUUGGAAAGUUUCGGCGGUUGGGGAUGGACUCGCGGCUUAUCAGCUUGUUGGUGGGGUAGUGGCGUACCAAGGCUUUGACGGGUAGCCGGCCUGAGAGGGUGACCGGCCACAUUGGGACUGAGAUACGGCCCAGACUCCUACGGGAGGCAGCAGUGGGGAAUAUUGCACAAUGGGCGGAAGCCUGAUGCAGCAACGCCGCGUGCGGGAUGACGGCCUUCGGGUUGUAAACCGCUUUCGCCUGUGACGAAGCGUGAGUGACGGUAAUGGGUAAAGAAGCACCGGCUAACUACGUG
rnacentral:rRNA from 1 species